CUGGUGCCCUCUGAGACAGCUCUUUUGGACAAGUAUCAAAGAAACUCUCCAGGUGUUCCACUUGCCAGUAGGGCCAGGGCUCACUCCUCUCUUCCCUCUGCCUGGCUUUGCUGGCUGCAUUCCUUCAUUCUGGUGACACAUCCUCAAGCUUCCUCAGUGCAGGCAAUGGGAGGCAAAGGGUGGUGCAGGGUCUGUAGAGCAGGGUUUCAGAGAGUCUCAGAAGUUAACGCUUGCACCAGCCAUUCCAGCUAACAGGGAUACUCAUGGAUGUUGUGUGCCUUCAGACUCUACCCAGCCCCCCUGAAGCUUUGGAGAUGCCUGCAGGUGGGACUGCCACCCAAGAGGAGCAGUCAGCUCACAGACUCUGCACUCUUCAGCAAGGGCUUGAUCUUGAAGAACAGCUUCAUCCAGGGCCAGUGUUUGACAUUCAUGAAUGCACGAAUGUUGUACUGGAUGCAGAAGAUGGACUCUCUGGAGCAUAAUUCAGAUGUGCAAUGAGUAUUUUCAGUCUGAAAAGUGUCAACACUUUCCCUCAAGCACAGUGAGUUUAAUUGAAGACAAAGAAUGUGUACCUUCUCUCCACCAUUCUCUGGUACUCCACCCUCAUCAGGAAGCCUCUGCACCUGGCCUGUGUGCGGGUGAUGAGCUGUGCCAGCUUCUCAUCCCUCAUCUCCUCCAGGAGCCCCAGCAGCCCAGCUUUGAAGAACACCUUAGAGAGGGAAUGUUGCAGCACAUCACUGUCAGGCCGGGCAAAGCACAGGCACAGAGGCCUGGAGUCCAGUAGAACUAGAAGCAAACCACAGCACAGUCAGAAGAGGCAGAAUCAGAGAAAUCCCUGGAUAAAGAUGGUCCUGCACAGACAUAAGGUGUGGGCAAAGUGCUGAUGUGAUGACAUCCAAGCAUGAUGAAAACAGGUCCCAUCCCACUUUCUAUUUAAAAAUCCUGGUCAUGUGGACACUCAGAUAGGCUCUUUCUCUUUAGGAUGCUGAGAUACCAGUGUCAUCUCUUUCACUUUUCCUAUGUCUGCUAAACUGUUUGGCAUUAUGUCCAGAAUAGUGAAGGGCAGUCAUUACCAAGUCCUUCCCCUGCUUAUCACUUACUAUUUGCAGGAAUGUUUCAGAAAAGGAUGUGAUUUCAUCAAAGAUUGCCUAAAUUCACUUCUACUGGGAAAUUAGUAUUUAGUAUCAGUGCCCUUAUAUUUUAGGGAAAGAAAAAAAUUAUUUAUUUCAGUGCCUUGAUUCUACCUUAAAAACAUGUAUGGCAAUGUGAGAACUAGCUAUGGAAAAUCACUUUCUGGUCUAAUGUUUUUUCUUGCCAGACUCUGUAACUCAUACAGAGUAGAGUAGUAUCCCCCCAAAAUAAAUGGCAAUAUUUCAAUUCCAGAAUCAGGACAUUAACAUAUAGCAUUUUUUAUGUAAAAAAACCCCCAACACCAUCACCCCAAAACAGCAGAGGCUGGGCUAGUGACAGACCCUUUCCUGGGAAAUACAAAAAUCAUGUGGGUUAGAACUACAUUACGAUUCUUCCAGAAAGUGCAAUGAUGUAGGAAGGAGUCUGAAGUUUCCUGACUUGGUCAUGAUUUCCCCACUGCCAAAAAAAGGAUCACAAAUCCUUGCAGGGCUUUCUCUCAAGUGCUGUUGUUGGCCAUGUUGUUGUUAGGGUAGGGCCUGCCUAGAGAGGUCAGUUUGCUCUGCAGCCUGUGAUGGACGUUCUGACAGGGAACACUCAGCCCCUGCUGCAGCAGCUUUUCUGCUGCCUCUGUGUAAAAUGAGAGCUGCCAGGAAUGUUAGCACAGGGCAAGCAGAAACAACCCUCUGUAGCAACACUGCUCAUCCCUGUACUUCUGCUAGGAUGUGGCUGGACACUGAACCCCAGAGAUGACUCUGCACUCUUCAGCAAGGGCUUGAUCUUGAAGAACAGCUUCAUCCAGGGCCAGUGUUUGACAUUCAUGAAUGCACGAAUGUUGUACUGGAUGCAGAAGAUGGACUCUCUGAAAGGAAGAAAGAGUGAAGUCUCUACUCUACCCGGAAAAGAGCCGAGACAGUCUGGAAAGAAGAACCCUUCUUCUUGGCACCUUUCUUGCCUGCACCGCUGGCCUCAGCUAAAUUAAAAAUAAAUAAAACAGAUUUUAGAUUUUUG